rnacentral:tRNA from 1 species
GGGCGCGUAGCUCAGCGGUAGAGCACUACGUUGACAUCGUAGGGGUCGCUGGUUCAAUCCCAGCCGCGCCCACCA